AUGCGGCGUGCGAGCUGGAUGUCCUUGGGCAUGAUGGUGACGCGCUUGGCGUGGAUGGCGCACAGGUUGGUGUCCUCGAACAGCCCGACGAGGUACGCCUCGGCGGCCUCCUGGAGCGCGGAGACGGCGGAGGACUGGAAGCGGAGGUCGGUCUUGAAGUCCUGGGCGAUCUCCCGGACGAGGCGCUGGAAGGGGAGCUUGCGGAUGAGCAGCUCCGUGCUCUUCUGGUACUUGCGGAUCUCACGGAGGGCGACGGUUCCCGGCCUGAAGCGGUGGGGCUUCUUCACGCCGCCGGUCGCCGGCGCCGACUUGCGAGCAGCCUUGGUCGCCAGCUGCUUCCUCGGCGCCUUGCCGCCGGUGGACUUGCGCGCCGUCUGUUUCGUGCGGGCCAUCGGCGCAGGUGGUGGUGGUGCCUUCUUGGGAGAUCGGGUGCGGCGGUAUUAA
rnacentral:rRNA from 1 species